rnacentral:rRNA from 1 species
GCUCAGGAUUAACGCUGGCGGCAUGCCUAAUACAUGCAAAUCGAACGAGGUUAGUUUACUAACCUAGUGGUGAACGGGUGAGUAACAAGUAUCCAAUCUGCCCUUAAGAUGGGAAUAACUGACCGAAAGGUUAGCUAAUGCCCAAUAAUAACAUUCUUAUCGCAUGAGAAAAUGUAGAAAGUCGCUUCAAAGCGACGCUUUUGGAUGAGGGUGCUCCGUAUCAGAUAGUUGGUAGGGUAAAAGCCUACCAAGUCAAUGACGCGUAGCUGUACUGAGAGGUAGAACAGCCACAAUGGGACUGAGACACGGCCCAUACUCCUACGGGAGGCAGCAGUAGGGAAUUUUUCACAAUGGGCGCAAGCCUUAUGAAGCAAUGCCGCGUGAACGACGAAGGUCUUAUAGAUUGUAAAGUUCUUUUAUUUGGGAAGAAACGUUAUGAUAGGAAAUGAUCAUAACUUGACUGUACCUUUUGAAUAAGUAUCGGCUAACUAUGUGCCAGCAGCCGCGGUAAUACAUAGGAUGCAAGCGUUAUCCGGAUUUACUGGGCGUAAAACGAGCGCAGGCGGAUCUGCAAGUUUGGUAUUAAAUCUAUGUGCUCAACGCAUAGCUGUAUCAAAAACUGCAAAUCUAGAGUGUAGUAGAGAGUUGGGGAACUCCAUGUGGAGCGGUAAAAUGCGUAGAUAUAUGGAAGAACACCGGCGGCGAAGGCGCCAACUUAGACUAGCACUGACGCUUAGGCUCGAAAGUGUGGGGAUCAAAUAGGAUUAGAUACCCUAGUAGUCCACACUGUAAACGAUCAUCAUUAAAUGUCGGCACGAACGUGUCGGUGUUGUAGCUAACGCAUUAAAUGAUGUGCCUGGGUAGUACAUUCGCAAGAAUGAAACUCAAACGGAAUUGACGGGGACCCGCACAAGUGGUGGAGCAUGUUGCUUAAUUUGACAAUACACGUAAAACCUUACCUAGGUUUGACAUCGAUUGCAAAGCUAUAGAAAUAUAGUAGAGGUUAACAAUCUGACAGGUGGUGCAUGGUUGUCGUCAGCUCGUGUCGUGAGAUGUUGGGUUAAGUCCCGCAACGAGCGCAACCCCUUUCGUUAGUUAUUUUUUUAACGAUACUGCUACUGCAAAGUAGAGGAAGGUGGGGAUGACGUCAAAUCAUCAUGCCCCUUAUAUCUAGGGCUGCAAACGUGCUACAAUGGUUGAGACAAACUGCCGCAAAACCGUAAGGUCGAGCAAAUCAGACAAAAUCAAUCUCAGUUCGGAUAGAGGGCUGCAAUUCGCCCUCUUGAAGUUGGAAUCACUAGUAAUCGCGAAUCAGACAUGUCGCGGUGAAUACGUUCUCGGGUCUUGUACACACCGCCCGUCAAACUAUGGGAGCUGAUAAUAUCUGAAACCGUACUGUUAACCGCAAGGAGGCAUACGUCUAGGGUAGGAUUGGUGACUGGAGUUAAGUCGUAACAAGGUAUCCCUACGAGAACGUGGGGAUGGAUCACCUCCUUUCUUCGGAGUAAUUUUUAUAAUUACACAAUCAAGUGUACGAAAUCACAAACAAAAUCCAUGAUGAUUAGCCGCUUAUAUUUUUAACAAAUCGUUAUGGUCGGAUUCUAUUUAGUUUUGAGAGAUUAUGUCUCUCCAUAUAUUUAUUUUUUAAAUAUAUGAGAUCGAUCUUUGAAAACUGAAUUAUUAUCAACAAUCUUUCUAAUAGUUAGAUAUGUAAAAAUAUCUAAUGAAUAGAAUUAUAUUAAUUUAAUUAAUAUAGUUAACAAUCAUAUUAAAGAUACAACUUUAAGGAUUUACAAUAAGUUAUUAAGAGCUUAUGGUGAAUGCCUUGGGACAAACAGGCGAUGAAGGACGUGCAAAUCUGCGAUAAGCAACGGGAAGCUGAUAAGAAGCUGUGAUCCGUUGAUUUCCGAAUGAGUAAACUCAAUAUAAGUAAUUUUAUAUUAUUACAUUAUGAAUUCAUAGUAAUGUAAGGCAAUACCUCGUGAAGUGAAACAUCUCAGUAGCGAGAGGAAAAGAAAACGAAUGUGAUUCCGGUAGUAGCGGCGAGCGAAUCCGGAACAGGCCAAACCGAAUCUUGAUUCGGGGUUGUAGGACUGCAAUCUGGACUAAUUGUCGAUAGUGGAACGAGUUGGGAAGCUUGAUCAUAGAGGGUGAUAAUCCCGUACACGAAAUCAACAAUUUACCUAGCAGUAUCCUGAGUAGGGCGGGACACGUGAAAUCCUGUCUGAAUCUACCCAGACCAUUGGGUAAGCCUAAAUACUAGUUUGUCACCGAUAGCGCAUAGUACCGUG